rnacentral:rRNA from 1 species
GGGGGUAGAGCACUGUUUCGGCAAGGGGGUCAUCCCGACUUACCAACCCGAUGCAAACUGCGAAUACCGGAGAAUGUUAUCACGGGAGACACACGGCGGGGGCUAACGUCCGUCGUGAAGAGGGAAACAACCCAGACCGCCAGCUAAGGUCCCAAAGUCAUGGUUAAGUGGGAAACGAUGUGGGAAGGCCCAGACAGCCAGGAUGUUGGCUUAGAAGCAGCCAUCAUUUAAAGAAAGCGUAAUAGCUCACUGGUCGAGUCGGCCUGCGCGGAAGAUGUAACGGGGCUAAACCAUGCACCGAAGCUGCGGCAGCGACGCUUAUGCGUUGUUGGGUAGGGGAGCGUUCUGUAAGCCUGUGAAGGUGUGCUGUGAGGCAUGCUGGAGGUAUCAGAAGUGCGAAUGCUGACAUAAGUAACGAUAAAGCGGGUG